GCCCGCCUAGCUCAAUCGGAUAGAGCGUCAGACUCUUACAAGCGGGUGAUCUGAAGGCUGCGAGUUCGACCCUCGCGGUGGGCU
rnacentral:tRNA from 1 species